rnacentral:ncRNA from 1 species
UUCAUCCCUGCGGAAGAGCCCGGACCUCAACUAUGGUUCGGCGCCGAAGGCGCAACCACCCCGGAAACGCUCAGGCACAAGGGACCGCGCGGGAUUU